rnacentral:rRNA from 1 species
AAACUUUCAACAACGGAUCUCUUGGUUCUGGCAUCGAUGAAGAACGCAGCGAAAUGCGAUACGUAAUGUGAAUUGCAGAAUUCAGUGAAUCAUCGAAUCUUUGAACGCACCUUGCGCCCCUUGGUAUUCCGAGGGGCAUGCCUGUUCGAGCGUCAUUA